UACGACUACAUAUCAGGCAUAUCAAUAAGCGGAGGAAAAGGCUGCGGAACUGAACGGGCCGCUACCUACGCUUAGGAUGUUGACACACGCGCGUGCUUGAUCUAUACAUGACUCUGCGCAUAUCAAUAAGCGGAGGAAAAGAAACUAACAAGGAUUCCCCUAGUAACGGCGAGUGAAGCGGGAAGAGCUCAAAUUUGAAAUCUUAAAGGGUUUCUACCUUGACGAAUUGUAGUUUAAAGAAGUGUUUUCUGUUGAGGUUUUGGUAAAAGUUCUUUGGAAUAGGACAUCAUAGAGGGUGAGAAUCCCGUAUUUGACCUUUACUUUCAACUUUGUGAUACACUUUCAAAGAGUCGGAUUGUUUGGGAAUGCAGUCCAAAAUGGGUGGUAAAUUUCAUCUAAAGCUAAAUAUUGGCGAGAGACCGAUAGCGAACAAGUACCGUGAGGGAAAGAUGAAAAGAACUUUGAAAAAGAGAGUUAAACAGUACGUGAAAUUGUCCAAAAGGGAAGCGUUUGACACCAGUGUUGUUUUUCUGAAAAUCAAUUAAAGAACUGUUUAUGCUAAGCUGUUUAGACUUUAUCAGCUAAUCUGUUUAGUUUUGAGCUUUUCUUUAAUGCACUUUUCAGUUAACAAGUCAACAUCAAUUUCUUUUGCUGUAAAAAAGCUUGAGGAAGGUGGCUUGAGAUUCGUCUUAAGUGUUUAUAGCCUCUUGCCUAUGCAGUCGGAGAGAUUGAGGUCCUGCAGCGUAGAUCCUUCGGGGCUAAAUGCAUUUGUGCUAAGUUAUAGCAUUUUAUAGACAACUUGUUGACUAUGAUUUGUCUUGUAGCUUACUCGCUUAUGUUAUUUUACCUACGCUUAGGAUGUUGAUCUACAGAGCGAGAGU
rnacentral:rRNA from 1 species